rnacentral:tRNA from 1 species
GGAAGCGUGCCUGAAUAUAAAGGGCUACUUUGAUAGAGUAGACCAUAGGACUUACCCUCCUCACUUCC